rnacentral:rRNA from 1 species
GUGGGGAAUAUUGGGCAAUGGGCGCAAGCCUGACCCAGCAACGCCGCGUGAGGGAAGAAGGCUUUCGGGUUGUAAACCUCUGUCCUUGGUGACGAAACAAAUGACGGUAGCCAAGGAGGAAGCCCCGGCUAACUACGUGCCAGCAGCCGCGGUAAUACGUAGGGGGCGAGCGUUGUCCGGAAUUACUGGGCGUAAAGGGUGCGUAGGUGGCCUUUUAAGUUGGAUGUGAAAUACCCGGGCUUAACUUGGGGGGUGCAUACAAAACUGGGAGGCUAGAGUGCAGGAGAGGAAAGCGGAAUUCCUAGUGUAGCGGUGAAAUGCGUAGAUAUUAGGAGGAACACCAGUGGCGAAGGCGGCUUUCUGGACUGUAACUGACACUGAGGCACGAAAGCGUGGGGAGCAAACAGGAUUAGAUACCCGUGUAGUCC